GACGAACGCUGGCGGCGUGCCUAAUACAUGCAAGUCGAGCGAAGUUUUUCCGGUGCUUGCACCGGAAAAACUUAGCGGCGAACGGGUGAGUAACACGUAAAGAACCUGCCUCAUAGACUGGGACAACUAUUGGAAACGAUAGCUAAUACCGGAUAAUAGCAUUAACUGCAUGGUUGAUGUUUAAAAGUUGGUUUUGCUAACACUAUGAGAUGGCUUUGCGGUGCAUUAGCUAGUUGGUGGGGUAAAGGCCUACCAAGGCGACGAUGCAUAGCCGACCUGAGAGGGUGAUCGGCCACACUGGGACUGAGACACGGCCCAGACUCCUACGGGAGGCAGCAGUAGGGAAUCUUCCGCAAUGGGCGAAAGCCUGACGGAGCAACGCCGCGUGAGUGAAGAAGGAUUUCGGUUCGUAAAGCUCUGUUGUUAGGGAAGAAUAAUUGUGUAGUAACUAUACACAGUAGAGACGGUACCUAACCAGAAAGCCACGGCUAACUACGUG
rnacentral:rRNA from 1 species